rnacentral:tRNA from 1 species
GCCCCCGUAGCUCAGCCGGAUAGAGCGACGGUUUCCUAAACCGUAGGUCGAUGGUUCGAACCCAUCCGGGGGCACCA